AUACGUAGGGGGCGAGCGUUGUCCGGAAUGAUUGGGCGUAAAGGGCGCGUAGGCGGCGCGGUAAGUCUGGAGUGAAAGUCCUGCUUUCAAGGUGGGAAUUGCUUUGGAUACUGCCGCGCUUGAGUGCAGGAGAGGUUAUCGGAAUUCCCGGUGUAGCGGUGGAGUGCGUAGAGAUCGGGAGGAACACCAGUGGCGAAGGCGGGUAACUGGACUGCAACUGACGCUGAGGCGCGAAAGUGUGGGGAGCAAACAGGAUUAGAUACCCUGGUAGUCCACACUGUAAACGAUGAAUGCUAGGUGUAAGAGGUAUCGACCCCUUUUGUGCCGGAGUCAACACAAUAAGCAUUCCGCCUGGGGAGUACGGCCGCAAGGUUGAAACUCAAAUGAAUUGACGGGG
rnacentral:rRNA from 1 species